rnacentral:rRNA from 1 species
GACGUAGGUGGCGAGCGUUAUCCGGAUUUACUGGGCGUAAAGCGCGUGCAGGUGGUGCGAUAAGUCGGGCGUGAAAUCUCCUGGCUCAACUGGGAGAGGCCGUCCGAUACUAUCGGACUUGAGGGCAGUAGAGGGAGGUGGAAUUCCGGGUGUAGUGGUGAAAUGCGUAGAGAUCCGGAGGAACACCGGUGGCGAAGGCGGCCUCCUGGACUGCCCCUGACACUCAGACGCGAAAGCUAGGGGAGCGAACGGG